AGCUUCUCCUGUCUCCACCCCCCCUCCUUUCUUAUGGGGGAGGGUGAGCCAGAAGUGAGCCCCAGCCACUCUGCAGCUCCAGAGGUCUCUCUCUUAGUCCUUGCCUGCGCUGUAUAUGGCUGUGUACCACC